CAGCAGUCGCCACGGGAACACGGAGGGAGCUAGCGUUAUUCGGAAUUACUGGGCGUAAAGCGCACGUAGGCGGCUUUGUAAGUUAGAGGUGAAAGCCUGGAGCUCAACUCCAGAAUUGCCUUUAAGACUGCAUCGCUUGAAUCCAGGAGAGGUGAGUGGAAUUCCGAGUGUAGAGGUGAAAUUCGUAGAUAUUCGGAAGAACACCAGUGGCGAAGGCGGCUCACUGGACUGGUAUUGACGCUGAGGUGCGAAAGCGUGGGGAGCAAACAGGAUUAGAUACCCGCGUAGUCCCUGUCUCUUAUAC
rnacentral:rRNA from 1 species